rnacentral:rRNA from 1 species
GCCAAUCUCAGUUCGGAUUGUAGGCUGCAACUCGCCUACAUGAAGUUGGAAUCGCUAGUAAUCGCGAAUCAGAAUGUCGCGGUGAAUACGUUCCCGGGUCUUGUACACACCGCCCGUCACACCACGAGAGUUUACAACACCCGAAGUCAGUGGCCUAACCGCAAGGAGGGAGCUGCCUAAGGUGGGGUAGAUGAUUGGGGUGAAGUCGUAACAAGGUAGC